rnacentral:lncRNA from 1 species
CGACGACGAGGAUGAGGAGAUCGAUUUGGAAAACUUAGACAGCGCGGCAGCCGGGUCGGAACUAACCCUGGCUGGGACGGCGCAUAGGAACGGAGACUUCGGCCUAGGACCCAUUUCAGACUGCAAAAAUAGCGACUCGGACGACAGCUCCGAAAGCUUGGAGGAGCGACCACUGUCCGUCCUGAGCUUGGCUCCCGCGCCACCGCCCGUGGCCAGGGCUCCUGCGUCUCCACCUUCUCCACCCUCCGGCCUGGACCCCUGCGCUCCGGCACCGGCGCCCUCCUCCACCCUCCAGAAGCCCAAGAUCUGGUCACUGGCCGAGACGGCCACUAGCCCGGACAACCCACGUCGAUCGCCUCCCGGAGCCGGAGGUUCUCCUCCCGGGGCAGCCGUUGCGCCCCCGACGCUGCAGCUCUCGCCCGCGGCCG